rnacentral:lncRNA from 1 species
CACACUUAGUCCCAUAAUAUCUCAUCUUUGAUUUACAGCUACAUUAUUGCUACCCAACAAGCAUCAGAUGACCGAAUUAAAGGGAUUAAGUUCUAAAGUUGUGGAUAAUAUGGAUAUUCAUAUAUCUGCACCACCCAAAUUCCUUUUUCUCUCUGAAUAUUCAUAUAUCUGCACCAAAAUGAAAUAUUUCCGGUAAAAAUAACUAUAAAUUUUCUGAACACUGAACCAGGUGUACUCAAGAUAUUGAAGUUUAAUUCUAGUUUCAUACAUUGAAAUCAUUUAGCAUUGGAAAAUCACAAAUUCCAUCACAUUCAGAGUAGAAAAUCCUAAUUUAUAGCCAAUAAAAUGAGAAUAAAUUGAACAUGGUCCAUCAAAACAGAAACAUAAGAAGUCUGGAAUUCAACUUAACAACCCACAAGUCUUCACCUACAAAACUAGACAUGAUUCCUCAAGCUUUUUACUACUUCUCAGAUGAGUUAGGUCCCGUCUUCUUUCCAAAGCCAACAACUGCAACCAGUUACAAACAAAAUCAGGAAUAAAAUACAAAGACAUUUCAAUCAAAGAUUUGGGUGCCAAUUACAAGGAAAUUGAUUGUGCGGGUACCCAUCUACAACGGAUUGUAGCCAUCUAUUAUCUAUUAGUAGUCAACCCACUUUUCUCCAACAACUCCACAACUAUCUAUUUCAUGGUUUAUAGCAUCCAUAAUAAACAACAGUUUCCUAAGAAUAAAUUUAAAAGAAUGAUUAAGUCCACACUCAAUAUAAAUAAUAUAGCAGGCAGAAAUAAAACAACGAUUGUGUUCAUACAAUCAACAAUAAAACCUCUUAGGUAGCUCAAGUCGGAUUGAGUUUAACUUUUUAUCAAAUGACAAAUCAAUAACCUUGAAAGGGCUUACCAUAAUAUCCUUUUCAAAGAUGAUAGUAUUUUAUAGAAGCAAUAAGAUGCAAACAAUGACUCUAAAUAAUACAAUUUGGCCAUUUUGGAAUUGACCCAAAAAUAUCCUUCAAUUUGAAACAGUCAACUUUUCCCAAAAAGGGAAGCCCAAAUAUUUCUUAUGUUUACCAACUCCACAAUCGAGCAUAAUCUUUAUCCUUGAUAUUAUUCUAUUUCAAUCACAAAUUUUAGUCUUAAAAAUUAAACAUUAAGAAGAGUACUGUGCCACCUUUUUAACAUGAAUAAAAGAAGACAAAAGUUCUGAAACUCUUUUUUUCGGACUCACAAUUUGGGAUAGAGUCGUAGAGUAGUACCAUUCAAAGUUUUUCCUGUCAAGUGACCUCAAAAAAUAUCCAGCCAAUAAAGAAAGAAGACCCACAUACCAAUCAAGAUAUUAAAAGCCCCAGGUUUGCCACAAAUGGAGUAUUAAAUUACACAUACCAUUUAAAAAAGAAAUUGAAACCACAAUCAAAAAUUAAACCAAGAUGCACUCUAUAAUUACUGUUAAUACAAAAUUAACCCAGUCCAAGUCUCUGUUUGGUCUGUUUUGUUUGUGUUACGGCUGAGAUUUUUAGAGAGAUGAACAAAAUUGGAAAAAAUAUAAACCCUAGAUUCAUACCUGAUUGUUGUUUGCAGAGAGCGAUGGUGGUGCUGAGAUGGUUAAGGAGCAGCGGAAGAGACGCGAAAUCGGAAGAACUAGGUCGCGACGAGAGAGAGAUGGACACGGGAGGGGUUUUUUUGCACGGAGCGAUGGUGAGGCAGAGUGUUAUGUUUUGUCUGAUAAGUUGAAGUGAAGAGACAGAAAAAAUAAGAGGACAUUAUAUAGGUAAGCAAAGUAUGUAAGGAUUAGGGUAAGCCCCUGAUCCGGACUCUCUCUCUCUAUAUAUAUUUGUUAUUACCUUUAGUUUUGGAUCAACAAGGCCUAAGCAGAUUUUAAUUUUUACAGCAGUUAUAAAACUGGUGGAAAGAAACCAAGUGCAAGGGAUUAUGGGAAUAUUUUCACCAGAAGAAGCUGCUCUAGUCUCUGAAUUUAAUAAGUUCACCAGUCACCACCAUAAUUUCCUUAGCUCCAACUGCAAUAUCCCCACCGUUAAUGCCACCUGCAGAGCCCCAAUUUUUCUGUUAGAAUAUUUUAUUCUUAUGUGGCCUCUACUAUUUA